AGAGUUUGAUCCUGGCUCAGAAUCAACGCUGGCGGCGUGCCUAACACAUGCAAGUCGAACGAGAAAGUGGAGCAAUCCAUGAGUAAAGUGGCGCACGGGUGAGUAACACGUGACUAACCUACCCUUGAGUGGGGAAUAACCCGCCGAAAGGCGGGCUAAUACCGCAUAAUACCUACGGGUCAAAGGAGCAAUUCGCUCUG
rnacentral:rRNA from 1 species